rnacentral:lncRNA from 1 species
GUUUCUUCACGAACUUUUUCUUCUUUUCAGUAGACUUUCUUUUGAAAGAAGUCUACUCCACAGCAAGUAUAGAGCCCCUUGAACUCUUCAAGGUUCUCUCAGUAGUAAUCAGCAUAUUCAUCAACUCAGCCACAGUGCAUUGGAUCUUAUUCAUAUGAAAGUUUACUAUAAACUAUUUAUAUGAAUCUAUCCAAAACUACAGAAUGAGGUCAAUUU